GACGAACGCUGGCGGCGUGCUUAACACAUGCAAGUCGAACGGAAAGGCCCUGCUUUUGUGGGGUGCUCGAGUGGCGAACGGGUGAGUAACACGUGAGUAACCUGCCCUUGACUUUGGGAUAACUUCAGGAAACUGGGGCUAAUACCGGAUAGGAGCUCCUGCUGCAUGGUGGGGGUUGGAAAGUUUCGGCGGUUGGGGAUGGACUCGCGGCUUAUCAGCUUGUUGGUGGGGUAGUGGCUUACCGAGGCUUUGACGGGUAGCCGGCCUGAGAGGGUGGCCGGCCACAUUGGGACUGAGAUACGGCCCAGACUCCUACGGGAGGCAGCAGUGGGGAAUAUUGCACAAUGGGCGGAAGCCUGAUGCAGCAACGCCGCGUGCGGGAUGACGGCCUUCGGGUUGUAAACCGCUUUCGCCUGUGACGAAGCGUGAGUGACGGUAAUGGGUAAAGAAGCACCGGCUAACUACGUGCCAGCAGCCGCGGUGAUACGUAGGGUGCGAGCGUUGUCCGGAUUUAUUGGGCGUAAAGGGCUCGUAGGUGGUUGAUCGCGUCGGAAGUGUAAUCUUGGGGCUUAACCCUGAGCGUGCUUUCGAUACGGGUUGACUUGAGGAAGGUAGGGGAGAAUGGAGUUCCUGGUGGAGCGGUGGAAUGCGCAGAUAUCAGGAGGAACACCAGUGGCGAAGGCGGUUCUCUGGGCCUUUCCUGACGCUGAGGAGCGAAAGCGUGGGGAGCGAACAGGCUUAGAUACCCUGGUAGUCCACGCUGUAAACGGUGGGUACUAGGUGUGGGGUCCAUUCCACGGGUUCCGUGCCGUAGCUAACGCUUUAAGUACCCCGCCUGGGGAGUACGGCCGCAAGGCUAAAACUCAAAGGAAUUGACGGGGCCCCGCACAAGCGGCGGAGCAUGCGGAUUAAUUCGAUGCAACGCGUAGAACCUUACCUGGGUUUGACAUGGAUCGGGAGUGCUCAGAGAUGGGUGUGCCUCUUUUGGGGUCGGUUCACAGGUGGUGCAUGGCUGUCGUCAGCUCGUGUCGUGAGAUGUUGGGUUAAGUCCCGCAACGAGCGCAACCCUUGUUCACUGUUGCCAGCACGUUAUGGUGGGGACUCAGUGGAGACCGCCGGGGUCAACUCGGAGGAAGGUGGGGAUGACGUCAAGUCAUCAUGCCCCUUAUGUCCAGGGCUUCACGCAUGCUACAAUGGCUGGUACAGAGAGUGGCGAGCCUGUGAGGGUGAGCGAAUCUCGGAAAGCCGGUCUCAGUUCGGAUUGGGGUCUGCAACUCGACCUCAUGAAGUCGGAGUCGCUAGUAAUCGCAGAUCAGCAACGCUGCGGUGAAUACGUUCCCGGG
rnacentral:rRNA from 1 species